rnacentral:rRNA from 1 species
GAUGAACGCUGGCGGCGUGCCUAAUACAUGCAAGUCGAGCGAACGGACGAGAAGCUUGCUUCUCUGAUGUUAGCGGCGGACGGGUGAGUAACACGUGGAUAACCUACCUAUAAGACUGGGAUAACUUCGGGAAACCGGAGCUAAUACCGGAUAAUAUUUUGAACCGCAUGGUUCAAAAGUGAAAGACGGUCUUGCUGUCUCUUAUAGAUGGAUCCGCGCUGCAUUAGCUAGUUGGUAAGGUAACGGCUUACCAAGGCAACGAUGCAUAGCUGACCUGAGAGGAUGAUCGGCCACACUGGAACUGAGACACGGUCCAGACUCCUACGGGAGGCAGCAGUAGGGAAUCUUCCGCAAUGGGCGAAAGCCUGACGGAGCAACGCCGCGUGAGUGAUGAAGGUCUUCGGAUCGUAAAACUCUGUUAUUAGGGAAGAACAGAUGUGUAAGUAACUGUGCACAUCUUGACGGUACCUAAUCAGAAAGCCACGGCUAACUACGUG